AAUCAAAGUAACGCGAGACUAUUUCACCGCACGUUUCACAAACUAAAAAACCAUUCUCGAUGAUUAUAUGGUGAUCGCACUGAUCUGUUUUAUCAGAUAGCUCGACGUUUUCACUCUGAAAAAGAUUCAUUUAUUAUAAAUGAUUAAUUGUUUUAAAUAAAGGUUUUUUUUUUAAUGUAUGAUUGGCGCUCCAUACCUUUCUGCUCAUUUUAUACUUUCCAUACCAUCAGCGCUCCAUACAUGACACAGAGCAAAGUGCAGCCCGCACAAAAAAAAUUCAAUUUGUCACGCUUUGUUGUUUUCAAAACUUGUUUGGGCCAGGUUUUAGUCUGUCACGCUAUGUUGUUUUCAAAACUUGUUUGGGUCAGGUUUCAAUCAGUCCCGCUAUUGUUGGUUCCAAAAGCAAAGUCAAUAAACCACCUACCAUGCAGUGACUUUCAAUCAGUCACGCUAUUGUUGUUUCCAAGAGCAAAGUCAAUAAACUGCCUACCAUGCAGGACUGCAAAAUUUCAAUCUGUCACGCUUUUGUUGUUGUUUCCAAAAACUAGUUCAUAUCAGACGCCGCCCAUUUUUUCGCUUCACUAUAUGAACCGACCGCUGUCAGAACAGACGUGUUUUUGGGUUUUAGCUUCUUACACCAAUUCUACAAGGCAUCUGACUUUCUCAUGGAACCAUGUCAACAAAAGUGAGUCUGGCCACCAGCAUUCAUCAAAUACAUCAGUCAACCCCACACUAAGCAGUGACGUCAGGAAAAACAAUCAACUCGCGCCCUGCGGGAGCUAGUAUAGCAACCGUCUCUGUGACUGAGCGUUUAUCCAUGUUUUACAGUCUGGUAUACGGACACGCCAACACAGGACCAGGAGCGUGCUUAUUCAAAAACAUCAGUCAACCUUACACAGAGCAGUGACGUCAGGAUAACUUGCGCCCCGCGGGAGCCAGUAUAUCAACCAUCUCCAUGACUGAGCGUUUAUCCAUGGUAUACAGUCUGAUAUACGGACACGCCGACACAGGACCAAUAUCUACUGACAGCCUGGUAUAUAGAGACGCCAAGUCACAAAGAGAACUUUAACUUGUCAACAAAAGUCAUCUGGCCAUCAGCAAUCACCAAAUACUGACAUCACAAGUUGACAAGUAAUCGUCUGUUGUCAACCCUACACAAUAUUGAUGUAGUGAUGCCAUUGUCGUCAAGCUAAAACAAUCAAGUGGUUCCCAAAGAAUAGCCACCGCCUCGUCAAUAAGCGUUUAUACAGACACGCCAACAUAGGACUAUAGCAUCGUGCAUCGUCAAAAUUUAUGUUUACAUGCUGUGCAACUGCCAUGAUCUACUGGCGUAUCUAUUGACUGUACUGCUGGUUGAGAGACUUUGAAAGACAUUUGAUCAUAUUGUCUGCUUUUAAUUAUCAGUGUGUAUAGAGGUUUUAAUGUAAAUAACCCUGCUCCAAGUGUUUCGGAAUAGCGUAAUUUUUGUUUAAUAAAUUUAAUGUAGAUAUGAUUUCUGUUUUGUCUAAUUAUAUUUUGAACGUCUGACUCUUUUUAAUAUUAUGGAGGGUGUUGGUUAAUA